rnacentral:lncRNA from 1 species
ACCUGACCAUUUUAACUAGCAUCAGACCAGAAGAAAAAAAAACUUGCAUCAGCCUUCAGUUCACGUAAUGCACUAUUCAAGUGAGUAAUGCCCUUGAAAUAGCCGUUCUUCUACUUCCUCAAAAAGAAUCAUGUACUUUGAAAACAUUCUCCAGUGAGCUUGGAUUGCUCUGGCUUGUUCUCUACUCUUCUUGGUUCAGUGGCAUAUCUUACAAUCCAGUUUUCCACGGAGAAUUUUAUCAGUAAUAGAGAUAGU